UUUAUCAAGAGCGGCGGAGGGAACUGGCCCAGUGAAGCCCGGCAACAGCCUUUGUGGUGAUGUGCUAAAUCCAGCAGACAAUGUCUGGCAGAUAAG
rnacentral:ncRNA from 1 species